ACUUCUGAAAAUUCGGAUUUCUGUUUUCUGCCCAAAUUCCCGCUCUGCUGUCAGUUUCUGUUGUGAAAGUGAUUUGCCCGGUGAUUUGACCAGUUUCUUCAAGUGAUUGGGCAAAUCACAGACCCGAUCACGUUUCUGUGAGUCAGUUCUCUCUGUCUUCUGCGAGUGAUUUGGCCAGUGUCCUGGGCAAAUCACUGACCUUAUCACUUGUUGCCUCCAGGUUUCUGCUUCAGCUUGAUCUGGGCGGAUCACUGGGCAAAUCACUGACCCAAUCACUUUUCUGUCAAUUUUCUGCACUUUUUCUCCAAUUUUCCAAUUUCUUCCUUUUCUGUAAAAACAAGAUAAAAACCAUAAAUU
rnacentral:lncRNA from 1 species